GCCUGGCAAGGCAGCUCUCCCUCACUGCUGGCACUCAUGGACAGCCCUGCAGGGCGGCUGGGUCCGAGCGGAAGGAGGAGGCAGGGUUAGAUGAACAACAGCACACGGGGGCAGGGAUGCUCCCCUGCUAACGGCUCUUUCCUCUCCACUUCACUAGGAAGCCUCCCCAGAGGCAGUUCCCAAGGGUCUCACCUCCCCUUUGACCUUGGCCUAGACUGGGAACGGCAUGCUCCCACAGAGUCUGCUGUAGACUGCCGCUGAUGCCCCCAAGCUGCACGGCAGCCCAUGAGUGUAAGCGCUAACCAGCCCAUAGCUAAGGCAGCAUGGUGAGGAGCGAAGCUACCCCUGUGAAGGGUGGUUCAAGAUGGGGGCACUCUUUGGUACAGGAGCUCCGUGACCUUGGCAAAGGCUUGGCCUGCCUGAACCUGGGGUGCUGUGGGCACUCUCUCUUAGCACUGCUGCAGGAUGACAAGACAUUAGCCACCAAAGGGACCUGGCAACUCAGAUGCUCUCUCCUACCACAGAUAUGUGCUUGCCUCCCAGUCUCCACGCUGGCCCACCCAGCCAGGACUCCAUUUGCACAAGCUGGCGCUGCUCUGCAGUCUGCCCUGCUACCUUCUCCUCAUCCACCCAUCUGCAGAGACCAGACGGCCAGACCAGCCGCCGCACCACCACCUAAUCCCAGCUUUUGAAGGCAGCCAGGCAGCGACGGCUGGGUGUUCCCAUCUACUUGUACCAGGCCAGGCUGGGUAGAGAAAAUGCCUGUGUGUAAACACAGCCUUCUGCUUCGACGGCUUCUGCUUGGACUCCCCUGACCAACAGGGCCCUCUGUGACUUUUAUCUCCCUGCCCAAAAUAACCAUUGGCUUCUGUGGUUCUCUGGGCAUGGAUCAGACUGGUGAGAGACUCAAGCAGCUUGAGGAUAGGAAAGACACAUUUCAUCUUUGCUUUCCCAGUGCACCAGUGCAAAAGUCUGUGGCAUUUAUCAGAUCCUCUGUCUACUUGGAAGGGACCUAUGAUGCGAAGUGAGAGCUUGCUAUAGGAAAUGGUCACAUGAUCUCAAAGUUAACAGCUCAGUAGAAAAUAAAAUAGGGACACCAGCCAAUUGCAGCAGAAUACAGAAACUAGGAAAGGUACAAAGCAAAGGAUGAUGUUUGGGGAAGCUUGGAGGGGAAAGCAAUUGGAGAAAAGCAGAUGUCAAAGGCUUUAAGGAAAAGGUGGACUAAAAGCUAGCAUGAAAACAGGACAGCGAGAAAGGACAAGGUAGGUGCAGGAAACUGGGCACAUGUGGCUUGGCACUUGGGAUGCUGAGCAUUGACGCAGGGACUAGAAAGGCAGAUGGUGCCAAUCAGAGCCUUGAAUGACAUUCCAAGUGGUUUCCUGCCCUGUCUAGCAACUAGCCACGUGUGAUCUGUGUGAAAAUGAAACAAAAUGUAAAAUUCACAGUCA